UUUGUGAAACGACUUAAGAGGUGUAGCAUAAGUGGGAGUAGAAACUGAAAUAUGUUUUUACGACAGUGAAAUACCACUACUUUUAAAGUUGUUUUACUUAUCUAUUGAUAGGGAAAUAUA
rnacentral:ncRNA from 1 species